rnacentral:lncRNA from 1 species
AGACACUGCCUACAACAUAUUACUUCAAGAUGAAAGACAAAGACAGGUCAGCCGUGUGUCAUCACAAUUUGGUGGUGAAUCUAGUGCCUUCAACACUCACUUCAUCAAUAAACCUCCCACUAAAACCCCUGCACCAUAUCCACAUUCCAAGCAAUUUAACCAAAAACUCAACUUUGACACCACAAAGCCAAACAUUACAUGUAGAUACUGUAAGAAACCAG